UGUAAGCGUAUACCAAAGUUGUUGCAGUUAAAACGCUCGUAGUCGGAAUUUGGCAGUUCCGGAUGUGUGCACGUCGUGUGCGCACUUCGCGGGGAUUGCUUUUGUGGUCUUGCGUAGGAUGAGGCACUUUUAUUAGUGAACGUCCUCACGCAACCACUUUUUACUGUGAGAAAAUCAGAGUGCUCACAGCAGGCAUUUGCCGUGAAUGUAUUAGCAUGGAAUAAUAGAAUAGGACUUGGUUCUAUUUUGUUGGUUUGUUGGGACUGAGUAAUGAUUAAGAGGGACAGUUGGGGGCAUUUGUAUUUCGGUGCUAGAGGUGAAAUUCUUAGAUUACCGAAAGACAAACUGCUGCGAAAGCGUCUGCCAAGGAUGUUUUCAUUGA
rnacentral:rRNA from 1 species